rnacentral:lncRNA from 1 species
CCUUGGAUCAAGAAUUAUAUGGUUGGGAUGAUUGCGGUCGAUCUCUCUAGGAUUGAGUGGUCCUUAUAAGGUAAUAAUAUUAAUUCAAAGAUUAUAAAUGAUCCAAAGGGUUGAUCUAAGAGCCAAAAAGUCGGAAGUACCAGGUCCUCUAUGCUUUCAAUAGCAUAGUAGCUCUGCUAUAUAUAUCGAGAGAGUACGUCUUUUGUACUUUCGAAAGUACAGAGGCUUUCGUACUUAUAAGUUAUUUUCAAUGAUAGGAUAUCCGAUUCGGCGAUUGACUUAGUUAACCAUAAUCUACCUUAUUGGAGCUAUGUAGAAACGAAAUUUUAUAAAUUUUUGACAUCAUUUACCAAGUGAUCAAAAGGUCUCAAAAUUAACAAAAUUUUAUAAAUUUUUGACAUCAUUUACCAAGUGAUCAAAAGGUCUCAAAAUUGACUAUUUUAAUAGUUGAUGUAGCACGCUUUUAAGUUCAACGGUGUAGAACAAUCCAAAUUACAUGAAACUUUAAUAAAAAAUUCUACUUAAUAUCAAUAGCAAGAACAAUACUUGUGAUUUGAAAUUUGAGUCUUUUAUCACUAUUUUUUUAUGAGAUUUUUAUUUUCAGCUGUUCAUUUUGAGGCUAUUGGUUCACUAAGCAAAUGAAGUCAAAAAAUUAUGAAAUUUAAUUUCUACACAGUUCCAACAGUGUAGAUCAUGUGUAACGGAACCGAUCGCUGAAUCGAAAAGCCCUUCAUUGAAAACAACUUACAAUCACAGAGGCCUCGAUACAUUCGAAAGGAUAGGAGAGCCUAG